rnacentral:rRNA from 1 species
UGCCAGCCGCCGCGGUAAUACGGAGGGUGCAAGCGUUAUCCGGAUUUAUUGGGUUUAAAGGGUACGUAGGCGGAGCUUUAAGUCAGUAGUGAAAUCCCAUCGCUCAACGAUGGAACUGCUAUUGAAACUGAAGUUCUUGAAUAUAGUUGAAGUAGGCGGAAUACGACAUGUAGCGGUGAAAUGCAUAGAUAUGUCGUGGAACACCGAUCGCGAAGGCAGCUUACUAAACUAUUAUUGACGCUAAGGUACGAAAGCGUGGGGAGCGAACAGGAUUAGAUA